ACGUUGAAACACCGGAUCUCGAACGAUCACCGAAGUUAAGCAACGAUACGCCUGGUCAGUACCUAGAUGGGUGACCGUUUGGGAAUAUCAGGUGCUAUA
rnacentral:rRNA from 1 species